GCAACAAAACCAUAACACACUUCGUGCUGUCAUCGUGGAAAGGAGUAGAUAUACCGACAGACAGGAAAUCACUGCUUGAGAUGAUAGAGGCGGUGCACACUUGGCAGCCCGAAAUGACAGACGACACACCGAUAGUGAUACUAGACAAUGGCGGCUUCCAAAAAUGCGGAAUCGUUGCUGUUUUAUUGAACGAGAUUUAUCGCAUAUUACAACAGAAUGGGCGGAUAAACAUUUUACAAUCAGUCAAGAAAAUGGUGUACGGAAAAAGCCUUCUCAUCCGCAGCAAAGUAUGUUUACUUGAUACAGUUGCAAUAACACGGAUUGUAUGUUUUUUUGAAUGCAGUUCAAGUUCUGCUAUGAUGUGAUGUUGGACUAUGUUCCGCAAA